UGCAGAUCGGCUGUAGGUGAAAUAUAAAAUGGCUAUGAGAAUAAUGUACAGAACCCAUAGAAGGUGUGUAACUUUUCUCCAGAUAUUAUUUUAACAGUGAAGAUUCUUUCACCCGUUUGGAGUUGUUCAAGUAUUAGUUACCAUGCUUAAAAACAGGAGUGAACAGAACGAGUUAAAAAAUUCAUACUCAAGCUCAUGUUUUUCAGAUAAUUUCAAGCCAACUUUUAAAGACUGAAAUUUUUUAAAACUCUGUAAUGAUUCACUGUCAAUUUAGAGACUAAAGAAAGUAGUUAAGCUGAAGUGGGUUUAUUUGUGUCUGGAUACCAGAAUUUAUAAUAGGCUAUGUAGGUGGGACAGACUUUAUAACCUAAAAUUGCAGUAGAAAUUGAUUCAGAAUAACUAAGCGUGAUUCAAACUUACGACUAGUUAACGGCAGAAACUUUGAAGCUGAGAUUACAAAUGCUAAAAUUUUGACACAAAUCUACUUCUUACUAGAAGCAGAAUCAAGUAUUACUUGCUGUCUGGUUGGUGUCAAAAAACAUAGCUUGGAAAAAUUAUAAAAAUAGAUUAAGUAAAACAUUCAGGAUAAUGUUUUACAGAUGCCCAACUACCUAACCAGAAGAUAAGGAUAUAAACAUGAGUUAGGCUUUGAUAAAUCACAGUAAUGGAUGAAGCCACCAACCU
rnacentral:lncRNA from 1 species